rnacentral:lncRNA from 1 species
GCUUUACUGAGCCAUUGCAGCAUCAUCUGCCUGAGCAAGGGAGUUCCAGUUAAAUGUCUUCUCUCUACCUGACUUUGUCUUGUUCUCUGUUCCAGCAGCGGCUGCAGGAAGCGCAUCUCUGAGAACUUGGCGCUGAGUGAUGAAGGCAAGACAAAGACCAUAGAGCCAUUUGGUGCAUCCCUGCCGCUGUCACUCCAUAUCCUGGACUUGCAGUGAAAGGAGUUUGAAGCCUCCGUCCUAGAUGCGCAUCCGUUUGGGAUGCUUCUCUCAUUGAAGGAGAGCAGACGUCUCAAAUAAAUGGAUGGCUUAAUGGACCGUCUUGCUGGGCCCUACGUAAGGACAGCGGUCAGAGACUAAACUGGGAGCAGGGUCAGGUGGAGAAAGUGGCAUCACCAGCUGUCACCAGGCCUUGAAGGCAUCCAGAUCUGGAAAGGCCCCAGGCAUUCAGAUCCAAUAGGAAAAACC